rnacentral:rRNA from 1 species
GAUGAACGCUGGCGGCGUGCCUAACACAUGCAAGUCGAGCGAAGCGGGGACGGGUGAGUAACACGUGGAUAACCUCCUAUAAGAUUGGGCUACCUCCGGGAAACCGGAGCUAAACCGGAAACUUAUAGAUGGAUCCGUGCUGCAUUAGUUAGUUGGUAAGGUAACGGCUUACCAAGGCAACGAUGCAUAGCCGGCCUGAGAGGUGGAUCGGCCACACUGGAACUGAGACACGGUCCAGACUCCUACGGGAGGCAGCAGUGGGGAAUCUUCCGCAAUGGGCGAAAGCCGGACGGAGCAACGCAGCGUGAGUGAUGAAGGGCUUCGGAGCGUAAAGCUCUUUUAUAAGGGAAGCGGGAUCUAACCAGAAAGCCACGGCUAACUACGUGCCAGCAGCCGCGGUAAUUC